CCUACGGGAGGCAGCAGUGAGGAAUAUUGGUCAAUGGACGAGAGUCUGAACCAGCCAAGUAGCGUGAAGGAUGACUGCCCUAUGGGUUGUAAACUUCUUUUAUAUAGGAAUAAAACGAGGCACGUGUGGCUUUUUGUAUGUACUAUAUGAAUAAGGAUCGGCUAACUCCGUGCCAGCAGCCGCGGUACUACGGAGGAUCCGAGCGUUAUCCGGAUUUAUUGGGUGUAAAGGGAGCGUAGAUGGAUUGUUAAGGCAGUUGUGAAAGUUUGCGGCUCAACCGUAAAAUUGCAGUUGAAACUGGCAGUCUUGAGUACAGUAGAGGUGAGCGGAAUUCGUGGUGUAGCGGUGAAAUGCUUAGAUAUCACGAAGAACCCCGAUUGCGAAGGCAGCUUACUAAACUGCAACUGACAUUGAUGCUCGAAAGUGUGGGUAUCAAACAGGAUUAGAUACCCUUGUAGUC
rnacentral:rRNA from 1 species